rnacentral:rRNA from 1 species
AUAUCAAUAAGCGGAGGAAAAGAAACCAACAGGGAUUGCCUCAGUAACGGCGAGUGAAGCGGCAACAGCUCAAAUUUGAAAUCUGGCUCCCUGCGGGGGUCCGAGUUGUAAUUUGUAGAGGAUGCUUCGGGCAAGGUCGCGGUCUAAUGUGCUUGGAACAGCGAGUCAGAGAGGGUGAGAAUCCCGUCUGGGAUCGCGCGCCGCGUCCGUGUGAAGCUCCUUCGACGAGUCGAGUUGUUUGGGAAUGCAGCUCUAAAUGGGUGGUAAAUUUCAUCUAAAGCUAAAUACCGGCCAGAGACCGAUAGCGCACAAGUAGAGUGAUCGAAAGAUGAAAAGCACUUUGAAAAGAGAGUUAAACAGUAUGUGAAAUUGUUGAAAGGGAAGCGCUUGCAGUCAGACUUGGGCGUCGCGGUUCCCCCGGCCUUGCCGGCCGGGUCACUCCGCGACGUCCAGGCCAACAUCGGUCCGGGUGGUCGGUGAAAGACGCCGGGAAUGUAUCUACCUUCGGGUCGACUUAUAGCCCGGGGUGCCAUGCGGCCUACCUGGACCGAGGAACGCGCUUUGGCUCGGAUGUUGGCGUAAUGGUUGCAAGCGGCCCGUCUUGAAACACGGACCAAGGAGUCUAACAUCUAUGCGAGUGUUUGGGUGUCAAACCCCUACGCGGAAUGAAAGUGAACGGAGGUAAGAACCCGUCCGACGGGUGCAUUAUCGACCGAUCCUGAUGUCUUCGGAUGGAUUUGAGUAAGAGCAUAGCUGUUGGGACCCGAAAGAUGGUGAACUAUGCCUGAAUAGGGUGAAGCCAGAGGAAACUCUGGUGGAGGCUCGCAGCGGUUCUGACGUGCAAAUCGAUCGUCAAAUUUGGGCAUAGGGGCGAAAGACUAAUCGAACCAUCGGGCCAGGUGGUUCCUCCGCAGUCCCCUCGGGGCAACAUCGUCCUUCUGGCGGGGUCCGAAACCCGCAGCAGCCGUGGGCUGUCCACAGACUAGGAGACGGUGGUCAUCUCCCCCGGAGAUGAUGAUGAUAUAGUCGGUCCGGUUAAGGCGUUUUAACCGGGUCGGACGCUGGUAGCUGGUUCCUGCCGAAGUUUCCCUCAGGAUAGCAGUAACGUUUUCAGUUUUAUGAGGUAAAGCGAAUGAUUAGAGGCCUUGGGGUUGCAACAACCUUAACCUAUUCUCAAACUUUAAAUAUGUAAGAAGUCCUUGUUGCUUCGGUGAACGUGGACAGUUGAAUGCACCGUUACUAGUGGGCCAUUUUUGGUAAGCAGAACUGGCGAUGCGGGAUGAACCGAACGCGAGGUUAAGGUGCCGGAAUGCACGCUCAUCAGACACCACAAAAGGUGUCAAUGCAUCCAGACAGCCGGACGGUGGCCAUGGAAGUCGGAAUCCGCUUAGGAGUGUGUAACAACUCACCGGCCGAAUGCAUUGGCCCUGAAAAUGGAUGGCGCUUAAGCGUGCUACCUAUACCUCGCCGUUAGGGUUGAAAUGAUGCCCUAACGAGUAGGCAGGCGUGGGGGUUCGUGACGAAGCCUCGGGGGUGACCCUGGGUCGAACGACCCCCAGUG